rnacentral:misc_RNA from 1 species
GCGAAGCUGCGUAAGCGAUAGAAGCGGUUAUCCUUUUUUGUCGACUUGCGAGCCGACGAAAAAGAUAUGAGCGGAUGGCGCAGUCUUCA